AUGAGAUUGAAGAGGAAGUUACAGCUCAAGAUAACGCUGAAGAAAGUAUUGAUGAAGAAGUAACAUGCCUAGGGCUAGGGCAUCAACAAGAAAAUUGUGCCAAACCUCCAACAAGUCCUACGUCAAGCAGUGAACUGAUCGGCGUAAAUGAUCAAGUGGAAUGUAGCCGGACGAAUAAAAUUAAUGAAACUUGUUUAAACACCGGAGAACCCCAUUUUCCAGACCAGAUCAUCGAUCCAGAGGUG